rnacentral:rRNA from 1 species
GAUGAACGCUGACAGAAUGCUUAACACAUGCAAGUCUUUGGCGAAGCUGUGCUUGCACAGCCUAGCCAAGGCGGACGGGUGAGUAACGCGUAAGGAACUUGCCCUGCAGUCAGGGAUAACAGACGGAAACGACUGAUAAGACCUGGUAAAGUCAGGCGGACUCAUGUCCAGCCUGAUGAAAAGAGAUGCUGCAGGAGAGCCUUGCGUCCUAUUAGCUUGUUGGUGGGGUAACGGCCCACCAAGGCGAUGAUAGGUAGCCGGCCUGAGGGGGUGGACGGCCACAAGGGGACUGAGAUACGGCCCUUACUCCUACGGGAGGCAGCAGUGGGGAAUAUUGGACAAUGGGGGCAACCCUGAUCCAGCAAUUCUGUGUGCACGAUGAAGGUUUUCGGAGUGUAAAGUGCUUUCAGCAGGGAAGAAAAAAAUGACGGUACCUGCAGAAGAAGCGACGGCUAAAUACGUG